GGUGGGUGCCCUGGGAAGAGUUUUCUUUUCUCCUUUACAACUUAUAACCCUGGAAUCGGAUUAUCCGGAGAUAGGGUCUAAUAGUUGGUAGAGCUUUGCAUUUCUGUGAAGUCCGGUGCGUACUCAACGGCCCUUGAAAAUCCGAGGGAAUGAAAAAGUCUUACACCCGAUCGUACCCAUAACCGCAUCAGGUCCCCAAGGUGAUCAGCCUCUAGUCCAUAGAAUAAUGUAGAUAAGGGAAGUCGGCA
rnacentral:rRNA from 17 species